rnacentral:lncRNA from 1 species
AAGGGUGGGGUUUAGGAUUUAGGGUUUAGGGUUUAGGGUUUAGAGUCUAGGGUUUAGAUUUUAGGGUUUAGGGUUUAGGGUUUAGAGUUUAGGGUUUAGAGUUUAGGGUUUAGGGUUUAGAGUUUAGGUUUUAGGGUUUAGGGUUUAGGGUUUAGGGUUUAUAAUUUAGGGUUUAGGGUUUAGAGUUUAGGGUUUAGGGUUUAGAGUUUAGGUUUUAGGGUUUAGGGUUUAGGGUUUAGGGUUUAUAAUUUAGGGUUUAGGGUUUAGAGUUUAGGGUUUAGGGUUUAGAGUUGAGAAAUGAGGUUUUGGGGAUAGGAUUUCAAAUUUUGAAAAAUAAAAAAAUU